rnacentral:rRNA from 1 species
GACGAACGCUGGCGGCGUGCUUAACACAUGCAAGUCGAACGGAAAGGCCCUGCUUGCAGGGUACUCGAGUGGCGAACGGGUGAGUAACACGUGGGUGAUCUGCCCUGCACUUCGGGAUAAGCCUGGGAAACUGGGUCUAAUACCGGAUAGGAGCCAUUUUUAGUGUGAUGGUUGGAAAGUUUUUUCGGUGUAGGAUGAGCUCGCGGCCUAUCAGCUUGUUGGUAGGGUAAUGGCCUACCAAGGCGGCGACGGGUAGCCGGCCUGAGAGGGUGGACGGCCACAUUGGGACUGAGAUACGGCCCAGACUCCUACGGGAGGCAGCGGUGGGGAAUAUUGCACAAUGGGCGCAAGCCUGAUGCAGCGACGCCGCGUGGGGGAUGACGGCCUUCGGGUUGUAAACUCCUUUCGCUAGGGACGAAGCUUUUUGUGACGGUACCUAGAUAAGAAGCACCGGCUAACUACGUG